UCGAAUGAAAUCAGAGUCGGUUGUCGCUGGCCUCUUCACCGAGGCAUGUGCACGCCUUCUCUGUUCAUCCACACACACCUGUGCACUUGUGAGACGGAUUAACCCUCUCGGGGGGACGGUCCGUCUAUCAUACAUAAACUCCAAUAUAUAAAUCUGAAUGUAAUUUGAUGUAACGCAUCUUUAAAC
rnacentral:misc_RNA from 1 species